GCCUGGGAAGGGCCAUAGCUCAGUUGGUAGAGCAUCUGCUUUGCAUGCAGAAGGAGCCUGGUUCGAUCCCCAAUGACAUCUCCAGGUA